rnacentral:misc_RNA from 1 species
UCAAAACAGCGGCCUUCGGGCCUCGCUGCACCCUUGUCUUUUGCGCACCGUAUUGUUUCCUCGGCGGGCUUGCCUGCCGGUUGGACAUCAUAAAACCUUUUUGUAGUUGCAAUCAGCGUCAGAAAAACAAUAAUUAUUG